UCCUCCUCUCCUCUUCGACAACUAUGAUGUCCAACUCGACCUCUGCCUCCAAUCCAACUCCAAGAAUCAUUGGAUUGACGACGGCGACUCGACAACAACCUCAUUUCCUUGGCCAACCCUACUUAUCUUCUUCAUGCCAGUUCCCAAAUAUCACUCCCUUCCCUUUACUCUUCACAAAUCACAAAAACAAGAAGUUACCCAUUUUCAACCCUAAAGGCCUAAUUUAUUGCCCUUUUUCAGUGUUUGUUACCUCUCUUUUUUGUGCGGAUCGUCAAUUUAUUGUCUGUCCUCUUCGAUUUGAUCAUGGUAUAUUUAUUAUGUAAUUAAUUUUUUCUUGUCAAGAUUCAUGACUAAGUAAACUCCUUGAAAAAUUACAACUUCUCUUACUUAGCCUGUGUAUGUGGUUUUAUUUCAGGUAGAUUGAUGUUAAGAAGGGCCUUUGACUACAUUUAUCUCAAUCAGAGUGUUGUUGUCUUGCUGAUGAAGGUUUGACUCAUUUUUCCUUUGGUUGUGCUUUCCAACUCUUGUGUUUCUUCUAUUUUAUUACUAUUGACAAAUAAAAAUAUAUAUUAAUUAGCAAAGAUGUUAUAUGUCAGUUGUCGUGUUGCUAAUGAUAUAUUUGAUGAACUGCCAAAUCCCAAAUGGAGCCAUAACAUUAUUACAUAAAUCAUACGUAGUAGUCCAGUAACCAGAUUUUGUUUUCCUUUACUUGUGCUCAUGUUCAAUCGUAUAUUAUUUGAAGACCUUAUGCACUUGGUUGGUGCCAUAAAUAUUUUAGGUUUGUUGUUUUUGUGAGAUAUGUCAGUAGUGAGGUGAACAAUAUCAACUGGAAUGAAUUUUGUCUAUGGUUUGGUUUGGUUUCCACUUUUUGAUUUUGGUUUCCACUUUGGGUAUUAUAUUGGUGGUUGCUGCCAAAUUUUUAUUUCAGGCUUGUGAAUUGUGACAGCAGAAUUCUCAACGGCAUGAUUCCAUCAUUUUUGUCGAAAUUAUACUUUUCAGGUAAGUAAUGGCUUGCCCUAACUUGUUAUUAAAUAUAUUGGAAAUAUUUAAAGGUUUGUCGGCUUAUAUGAUUGGUUAUUGUAGGAUCAAUUGCACAAGCGCACAUAGUAACUAUAUUGAAAACUUUUAAUUGUGAAAUGAUUGAAAUAUUUUGUGAAAAAAAGUUUCUCCAAUUGAAGUUGAUCAAGACUUACCUUUGAACAACUAUAUCACAAGAAAAAUUGAACGGAUUAGCUAUGUUAUUAAUAGAUAAAGAAAUAGUUGAAUAACUAAAUUAUUCAGAUUUGAUUAAUGUUUUUACCUCUAAAACAGCAAGGCAAAUAGUGUUUAAAUGAUUAUUUGAAACGUUGUUAGUUUAGUUAUUUUAUAAUACAAAUCUUUUGUAUAAUAUAUUUAUUUUUUGUUUUACUAUUAAGUUUUAAGUUAGCGAUAUGUUGUAUAAUACACAAUAGGUUUUGUUGGAUUUUGCAUUUAAGUUGAUUUUGGUGGCCUAAUUUUUGGAGUUCGCCCCUGGCCCCAAAAAUCACAGGACCGACGCUAUCAACACCUUCAUGUCUUGUUUGAUAACAUGGAGUCUCGAAAGGAUUAAACGGUAUAGAGAAGUUAAAAUAUUGUCUAUUGUAUUGUGUAGCGUUAACCAAACAUAUCGUUAAGGUUUUAGGGACAAGAACGUGUGACUUGAGUUGUGUAUCAAGAGGGAUAAUUAUUCAGAACAUUAAGCCCCUCCUUGGCAUCCAUUAGAUCAAAACUCUUUUUUCUCAAACUCAUUUUCAAUCAUAAAUUCAUAUAAUAAAUUAUUUUGAACUUAAACCCAAAUUUUUUUCCUAUUUUUUAACCACACAUUCUUAAAAAAAAAUAAAAAACACUAUUUUGAAAUUCAUUUCCCGCCAAAAAACUCAUUAAAAUGGAUGUCAAACAGGGGCUUAGAUUCAUCCAUCUUUCAAAUUGUGUUUAUUUACACUGGAUUUGUUUUGGAAUUUUGCUUUAAUAUCAUCUUGUUUUGUGCUCUAAUAAUGACUAUUGUUAAAUUAAAGGAUCAGUUUUGUUAAAAUGUACCGAUACAACUCGUGUUAAUUAUAAGCUGCUUUUUUAUUUUUAUUUUUAUUUUUUUGGUGCAGAGAGAAGAAUUCAAUGACUGAAAAAGAGGGGUAGCAAAGAUGAAGUGUUUUUACCUCAGAGACUGAAUUUAGUGGGAGAUUAUGUAAGAGGCUGUUUUGUUGCCCAGUGCCGGUCCCACAUGCUUUCACUCUUUUUAUUUUUAUUUUUGUUUUAUUUUGUCCCCCUUCUUUGCUUAGCUUUCUUUUCUUUUUUCAAUACGAGACCUGUUAGGCUGCGGAGCCCUCCAGACUGGCACGGCUCUUACCGUGCUAUUAGUGAUGACAAUGGGCCGAGUCGAUCUUUUAACCCACGAGGCGAGCUCGGCUUGGCCCACGAGCUCACGGGCUGAGUCUAGUCUAGCCGAGCCCACGAGCUCAUGAUUUUUUAAUUUUUUUUUGAUAAAUUUGCACGUUUUAUUUUUUUUUUUUUAAAUUCAUAUUUUUUGACGAGCACACGAGCUCGGCUAGUGGGCUCGUCAAAAUGGCUUGUGGGCUCAACAAGCUGAGCAGGCUCGACUCGUGGGAUUAAGCCCUUGCUUGGCUCGGGCUCGUCAUUUGAUGAACCCGAACCGUCCAUGAGUCUAGUUUUGACGAGUUUGACAUUCCUACGUGCUACACUGCCUGGGCCAGUGAUGGAACAGAAGAUUGAGGCCCUGUUUAGGCACCAUUUUUUGGGGGAAAAUAGGUUUUGGAAUAGUGAUUGUUUGGAAAAUGUGUGGUUAAAAUAGGGAAAAGUUUCGAAUUUACAUAUAAAAUUAAUUUAUGAGAGAAUGUGAGUUUUGGAAAAAGAAAAUUAAUUUUGAGAAAAAUGAAGCUAGGAGGAAUAUUUUACCUCAAGAGAGUGAAUUUAGUGACUAGAUGAUGGACAUAAGAAAGUACUUGGUCAUCAUUAUUCCAGAAUUGCUAAGAAUCCGAUUUCUCAUGGUCUUUCUUUAUAUAUCUAAUGUAAGUUUUCUAUGGGCUGUCACGGUUCAGUUGUGGAUCAUGUGUUGUUUCUCUAGUAUUAAUUUAUGUGGGUUCAGACAUUUUCUGAAAAUUUCUGCAUAUUUCAUUCUCUUUUACCGAACAUGCUGUCCAUCUGCCCUUCUUCACGAUGAAACUCUCAAAAGAAUAGUUCAUGUUUGGGCGGCUAAUCUGGAGUUCCUACGUUGUCGUAUUGCCCAAGUUCAGACAGAGCCGGAGCCAAUUUCAAAUUGGGAUCCUAUAUUUUGAUUCUCCUUGUAAAGAGUUUUAACCUAUUUAAUGGAGAUUAAACUCUUGUUUGAAUCCAAUUUUUCAUCAAAAUACAUUAUUCACAGUGAUUUGACACUAUUUCAAUAAUACAUUUUUCAAUAAAAUAAU
rnacentral:lncRNA from 1 species